rnacentral:lncRNA from 1 species
AAAGGGAAGAAGGAAUUUUUGAAAUUCUUUUCUUCCAGGGGUUUAUUUGCAAAAGGGUUUUUGCACUAUACAGACAUCAUCCUACCUUCCUGCAUUUCUUGGCGUGCGUGUGAAGUAGAGGGUCCGUACAUCCGGGCCUCGCAUAGCACCAGAUCCAUCAGUACCAGAUCCGGCACCAGAUCCAGUUCUAGAUCCAGUUUCCGAUCCAGUAUCAGAUCUAGCAUCUGAUCCAGUAUCUGAUCCAGCACUUGGCCCUGUACCAGAUUCUGUUCCUGAGUACCUUGACCAUCUUCCGCUGCGGAAUCGAGGUAUGGUAAACAUAAUAUAGUUAUGUUAUUUAUUUAUACCUGUUAUAAAUAAAUAGAUAAAAUUUUAAAACUGAUUUUCUGACCUGGCAUCCGAUUUUAUCGGAUUUUGCGGG